CCUACGGGAGGCAGCAGUGGGGAAUUUUCCGCAAUGGGCGAAAGCCUGACGGAGCAAUACCGCGUGAGGGACGAAGGUCUGUGGAUUGUAAACCUCUUUUGUUAGGGAAGAUAAUGACGGUACCUAACGAAUAAGCAUCGGCUAACUCCGUGCCAGCAGCCGCGGUAAGACGGAGGAUGCAAGCGUUAUCCGGAAUUAUUGGGCGUAAAGCGUACGUAGGCUGUUUUGUAAGUCUGUUGUCAAAGCGCGAGGCUCAACCUUGUAAAGGCAAUGGAAACUGCGAGACUAGAGAGAGAUAGGGGCAGGAGGAAUUCCAGGUGUAGCGGUGAAAUGCGUAGAUAUCUGGAAGAACACCAGUGGCGAAAGCGUCCUGCUGGGUCUCAACUGACGCUGAAGUACGAAAGCUAGGGGAGCGAAUGGGAUUAGAUACCCCAGUAGUCCUAGCCGUAAACGAUGGGUACUAGGUGUUGGCCGUAUCGACCCGGUCAGUGCCGUAGCUAACGCGUUAAGUACCCCGCCUGGGGAGUACGGUCGCAAGAUUGAAACUCAAAGGAAUUGACGG
rnacentral:rRNA from 1 species